rnacentral:rRNA from 1 species
GACGAACGCUGGCGGCGUGCCUAAUACAUGCAAGUUGAGCGAUGAAGAUUGGUGCUUGCACCAAUUUGAAGAGCAGCGAACGGGUGAGUAACGCGUGGGGAAUCUGCCUUUGAGCGGGGGACAACAUUUGGAAACGAAUGCUAAUACCGCAUAACAACUUUAAACAUAAGUUUUAAGUUUGAAAGAUGCAAUUGCAUCACUCAAAGAUGAUCCCGCGUUGUAUUAGCUAGUUGGUGAGGUAAAGGCUCACCAAGGCGAUGAUACAUAGCCGACCUGAGAGGGUGAUCGGCCACAUUGGGACUGAGACACGGUCCAAACUCCUACAGGAGGCAGCAGUAGGGAAUCUUCGGCAAUGGACGAAAGUCUGACCGAGCAACGCCGCGUGAGUGAAGAAGGUUUUCGGAUCGUAAAACUCUGUUGGUAGAGAAGAACGUUGGUGAGAGUGGAAAGCUCAUCAAGUGACGGUAACUACCCAGAAAGGGACGGCUAACUACGUG